UCAAGUUAUUAAGGGUGCAGGGCGGAUGCCUUGGCACUAGGAGCCGAUGAAGGACGUGAUAAGCUGCGAUAAGCUUCGGGGAGUUGCACGUAAACUUUGAUCCGAAGAUUUCCGAAUGAGGAAACUCACUUAGAGUAAUGUCUAAGUAUCAUUAAGUGAAUACAUAGCUUAAUGAGGGGAACUCAGGGAACUGAAACAUCUAAGUACCUGAAGGAAGAGAAAGAAAUUCGAUUCCGUAAGUAGCGGCGAGCGAACGCGGAUUAGCCCAAACCAAUAAAGUUUUCUUUAUUGGGGUUGCGGACAUAUCAUAACGGAGAGGUAUCGUAAUUGAAGAGGUUUGGAAAGACCCACCACAGAAGGUAAUAGUCCUGUAUGUUAAACGAGAAGACUUUAGAUAUGAUCCAGAGUACCACGGGACACGUGGAACCCUGUGGGAAGCAGGAGGGACCACCCUCCAAGGCUAAAUACUACCUAGUGACCGAUAGCGUAUAGUACCGUGAGGGAAAGGUGAAAAGAACCCCGGGAGGGGAGUGAAAUAGAACCUGAAACCCUGCACUUACAAGCUGUGGAAGCACAUUUCUUGUGUGACCGCGUACUUUUUGUAGAACGGGCCAACGAGUUACGUUAAGUAGCAAGGUUAAGCACUUAAGGUGCGGAGCCGUAGCGAAAGCGAGUUUUAACUGAGCGUUCAGUUACUUGACGUAGACCCGAAACCGGGCGACCUACCCAUGAGCAGGAUGAAGCGAAAGUAAAAUUUCGUGGAGGUCCGAACCCACGAGCGUUGAAAAGCUCGGGGAUGACUUGUGGGUAGCGGUGAAAUUCCAAUCGAGCCCGGAGAUAGCUGGUUCUCCCCGAAAUAGCUUUAGGGCUAGCCUCAAGGUGAGAGAUACGGAGGUAGAGCACUGAAUGUCCUAGGGGGUAUUGCACCUACCGAAGACUAUCAAACUCCGAAUGCCGUCAUCUUAUACUUGGGAGUCAGACUGUGGGUGAUAAGAUUCAUAGUCGAAAGGGCAACAGCCCAGAUCGUCAGCUAAGGUCCCUAAAUGUAAGUUAAGUGGUAAAGGAUGUGGGAUUGCACAGACAACCAGGAUGUUGGCUUAGAAGCAGCCACUCAUUCAAAGAGUGCGUAAUAGCUCACUGGUCGAGUGAUCCUGCGCCGAAGAUUUCCGGGGCUAAAACUUACUACCGAAGCUACGGCAUCAGUAAUGAUGGGUAGGGGAGCUUCCCAUACGGGUUGAAGCAUGACCGUAAGGACAUGUGGACAGUAUGGGAGUGAGAAUGUUGGCAUGAGUAGCGAGAUGUGGGUGGGAAUCCCACAGGCCGUAAACCCAAGGUUUCCAGGGGAAGGUUCGUCCGCCCUGGGUUAGUCGGGACCUAAGCUGAGGCCGAAAGGCGUAGGUGAUGGACAACAGGUUGAUAUUCCUGUACUACCGAUAACCGUUUGAGAGAAGGGAUGACACAGUAGGAUAAGCUAAGCACACUGUUGGUUAUGUGUGCCCAAGCAUUGAGGCAGUCAAAGUAGGCAAAUCCGCUUUGAUAAUGCUGGGAUGUGAUGGGGAGCGAAAUUUAGUAGCGAAGUAGCUGAUUUCACACUGUCAAGAAAAGUCUCUAUCGAGGUUAAAGGUACCCGUACCGCAAACCGACACAGGUGGGUGAGGAGAGUAUCCUAAGGCCAGCGAGAGAACUGUUGUUAAGGAACUCGGCAAAAUGACCCCGUAACUUAGGGAUAAGGGGUGCCACCAUCAGGUGGCCGCAGAGAAUAGGCCCAAGCGACUGUUUACCAAAAACGUAGGUUUCUGCUAAGUCGCAAGACGAUGUAUAGGAGCUGACGCCUGCCCGGUGCUGGAAGGUUAAGGGGAUCUGUUAGAGUAAUCGAAGCAGUGAACUUAAGCCCCAGUAAACGGCGGCCGUAACUAUAACGGUCCUAAGGUAGCGAAAUUCCUUGUCGGGUAAGUUCCGACCCGCACGAAAGGCGUAACGAUUUGGGCACUGUCUCAACAACAGACUCGGUGAAAUUGUAAUU
rnacentral:rRNA from 1 species